rfam:Aspergillus wentii DTO 134E9 unplaced genomic scaffold ASPWEscaffold_1, whole genome shotgun sequence.
GCUCGUAUAGCUCAGUUGGUAGAGCGCAUGACUAGUAAUCACUGCAAAGUGAAUUGCAAUCAUGAGGUCCGCGGUUCAAAUCCGCGUGUGAGCA